CCACCAUCAACAAACCAAACCAAUAAGACAGCACGGUGUACUUACAGCUCAUAGCAUUACAGAAUGCUGUGUGGACUACUAGCCAGACCCUCCUCUGCUCUGCAGUGUGUGGAGGAUGGUCUGGUAAAGUGAGACUACUGGCUCAGUAACACUGAGUUACUGGGUGCCCUUUUCUAAAUCAUCCCGCGGAAAAGACUUUCUGUUCGAGGUUUAAUUUAUAGAUCUCCUUACCCUCAGGACCUAAAUGGAUCAUGACUGGGACAGUUAUUUAAAGAGGGAUCAGUCAUGUCAUGAAGGAUCUUGUGCAUAUUAUUGCGCUUUUAUUGUGUCAUCGUUUAUUACUGUUUUCUGCUGCUGUAUGAAUUUGCUUAUCAGGUUUUUUGAGAGAUUACAUAAAUAAAUAAAAAAAUGUCAGUAUUUUGAGUUUUUAAUUCUUGAUUAAUCUGUUUUAGUCUCUUAUUACCAAUCCCCCUCUACUGUUUCUUCACCGUGAUAACUUUCUCCUACAAGAACAAACACAUCACAGACAACGUCUCCAAAAUGAUUGGCCUCCCCACCCCUAACCUCUCAGACCUCAACAGAAUGUCAUGAUUGUGGGUUCUGUUAUGUUCUGUUUCCUGUUUUAUUUUGACAUCUGUCUUGUCUCCCUUGUCUUGUCUAGUUUACUUCCUGUCCUUGGUUUUCCCUCCCGUGUGAUUGCCCUAAUGUGUUUCACCUGUUUGCCCAGCCUUGUGUCACCUGUCCCUUAUUGGUCCUCGUUACCUGGUUUAUUUAGUCUCUGUGUUGUCUUUGUCUGGUGUCGGAUCAUUUCGUUCUGUUUGCCCUGUUUCCUGCUGGAUGUUCUUCUCUGUUCUGUUGUGGAUUCUGUUUUGCAUUGGUUCCUGCCUGGCUACCUUCCGGAGGACACUUUGUGUAAGACUUUUGCGUGUAAAUAAAUCACCUCUAACUGCAUUUGGGUCCAAGCCUAGUCUUUCCUGACUACACCUGACACAGAAAAGCCAUCCCACACAGAUCUCACAUCAUAGCACAUAACCCCAGACCCAAACCCUCUCAAACCAUUCUUCACUGCUUCCAUCCGGCCAUAGAGACCGGCCCCUGGCCUGCAAACGGGCACGCUUUGUUAGGAGGUUUGUUCCUUCUGCCAUAGCAGCACUCCCAAAAAUACAUCAAUAACUGCUAUCCUAUCUAUUACAGUAAAACCCCGAAACAUCAUCUUAAAAAUGUCCUGGUGCUAUGAAAGAACACGCUGAAAGGAGGUAGGAUGUGAAAUCCCUCAUUUGGACUAAAUAAAGGAUGUCAUUUCUCAAAAAUGAUUUCAUCUCUAAUGACUGUUGAAGUCGUAUUAAACACCUGAAUGAAUGAGAAGUGUCUAAAACCAAAUGUCAUUGGCAGUUUCCAACAUCCCAAACUACACCGGGCCACAUAUGUGUCCAGCUAGUGUCAGUGUGUUGACAGGUUGGCAGGAGGAAAGUCAAAGCUGAUCUCCCCAAAAGAAGAAAUGAUAUACAUGACUCACAGGAAGUAGCUCUAUAAAUGUUGUACUGCAUCAUGUUGAGAAGCACCAACACAGAGACAGAGGUGUGAAAAGAACAGAACAGAAGAGAGAGAAACAGAACGAUGGAUUAAAAUGUUUCUAUAUCUGAUGCUGGUGCUUCAGUGUACAGGUAAGAAUACAUAAAUACUAACACAUUAUUAACAUAAAUAAUACUAGCAUUUGAUUGAUUCGUGCUGUUUGUUCGCGGGGGACUUCAGUCGUCUCAUGAAAACCAAGUAGGAGGGG